UCAGUCGACUCCUACGGGAGGCAGCAGUGAGGAAUAUUGCGCAAUGGGCGAAAGCCUGACGCAGCGACGCCGCGUGGAGGAUGAAGGUUUUCGGAUCGUAAACUCCUGUUAAGUGGGAAGAAAAACUGAGCUCUAAUACAGUUCAGCAAUGACGGUACCACUAAAGAAAGCACCGGCUAACUUCGUGCCAGCAGCCGCGGUAAUACGAGGGGUGCUAGCGUUAUUCGGAAUUAUUGGGCGUAAAGGGUGUGUAGACGGUCUAUUAAGUUAUCUGUUAAAUUCUCCGGCCUAACCGGAGGUCAGCAGAUAAAACUGAUAAACUAGAGGAUGGAAGAGAGAAGUGGAAUUCUCGGAGUAGCGGUAAAAUGCGUAGAUCUCGAGAGGAACACCGAUGGCGAAGGCAGCUUCUUGGUCCAUUCCUGACGUUGAGACACGAAAGCGUGGGGAGCAAACAGGAUUAGAUACCCUGGUAG
rnacentral:rRNA from 1 species